GGAAGCAUUGGCAUGUGGCAAGCCUGCCUCAUUCGAAAUGAGGUGCGCCUCGAGGGGACUUGAUGGUUCGACUCCGUCUGCUUCCGCCA
rnacentral:tRNA from 1 species